UACGUAGGGUGCAAGCGUUGUCCGGAAUUAUUGGGCGUAAAGAGCUCGUAGGCGGUUUGUUGCGUCGGCUGUGAAAUCCCGAGGCUCAACCUCGGGUCUGCAGUCGAUACGAGCAAACUAGAGUGUUGCAGGGGAGACUGGAAUUCCUGGUGUAGCGGUGAAAUGCGCAGAUAUCAGGGAGGGAACACCGGUGGCGAAGGCGGGUCUCUGGGCAACAACUGACGCUGGAGGAGCGAAAGCCGUGGGGAGCGAACAGGA
rnacentral:rRNA from 1 species